UUCUUCUUUAUCGAAAAACAGUUUGACGUUUACUUUUUGCAGAAGGAGUAAAAGAAACAAAGCAACAUUAUUUCAAAACAAGCUUAUUCGAAAUUUUUCAUCUCGCUCUAGCUCAUUGGCUUUAUUUCGAAAACUUCGACAAGUCGAUGCGAGUUCGGUCGGUUCGGUCGUGAAACAAAAAAAACGCGAAAAUCGGAAAAUUACAAAUGGUGCUUCCGUCGUGAUAGCUUCAAGUUUAUUGCGUGCUAAUAACACCGAUCGUCGUUGCUUAUAUCCUGAGCUUGGCAUCAAUACAAGCCCUUGAAAAGACCAGCGCCACGGGAUGCCCGCGUAAAAAAUAUUGGUCCGGAGAGUAUGUUCUGGGCACCGACUAUUGCUAUAGUCUGAUCCUGCCUUGAUACAGCUCGCACCAGGUAAUGAGAAGAUCUGCGCUAAUAACUUCGAGCUCAAGAAAUGCGUUGCUUUAAGGAUGACAUUGAAGGCGGAACUGGGCACUUUCACACGUCAGGUUAAAGUUGGUGGUGCUUUCUUUCGGAAAGGACAGUUCACUCAGCGAGAUGGAAGUUGCUCAGAUUUGCAGGAGUCGGGAAAGUGGAUUGAAAACGAGAUCGACAUGUACCCAAGCAUGCACCAGUUAAGACGUUUCCGGGAUCUGCAUGGUGGAAGAACAUUAUUCUGUUCCCAUAGGUCAUUCCAGCUGGCUGCUUCUGCUUAUUUAGGAUUAUGGCGGCAUGGAACUUUCACUACACUGCCUCGUUAACUGCUAUGAUUCCACUGGAUUCCAUUGAUUGAUCUGAUCGAUUUUAUUGGAUUAUAUGAUAGCUUUGAAUAGAUUGGUCUGAUUGGUUGAAUUGCUUGUGUUGAAUGAGUUGAAUGUGUUGGUUUGGAAAAUUAGAU